AGAGUUUGAUCAUGGCUCAGAUGAACGCUGGCGGCGUGCUUAACACAUGCAAGUCGCACGAGAACGCUUCAGCUUGCUGAAGCUAGUAAAGUGGCGCACGGGUGAGUAACGCGUGGGUAAUCUAUCUCUGAAUUGGGGAUAACAUUGCGAAAGCGAUGCUAAUACCGGAUGAUAUCCAUUAAACCUCGGUUUUUUGGAUCAAAGGUGGCCUCUACAUGUAAGCUACUGUUUGGAGACGAGCCCGCGUACCAUUAGCUUGUUGGUAAGGUAACGGCUUACCAAGGCAACGAUGGUUAGCUGGUCUGAGAGGAUGAUCAGCCACACUGGAACUGACACACGGUCCAGACUCCUACGGGAGGCAGCAGUGAGGAAUUUUGCGCAAUGGGGGAAACCCUGACGCAGCAACGCCGCGUGAGUGAUGAAGGCUUUCGGGUCGUAAAGCUCUGUCAAGUGGGAAGAACCCGCGCCGCACAAAUAGUGCGGGGCGCUGACGGUACCACUGAAGGAAGCACCGGCUAACUCCGUGCCAGCAGCCGCGGUAAUACGGGGGGUGCAAGCGUUAUUCGGAAUCAUUGGGCGUAAAGAGCGCGUAGGCGGUCUUCUAUGUCAGGUGUGAAAGCCCGGGGCUCAACCCCGGAAGUGCACUUGAAACUGGGAGACUUGAGUAUGGGAGAGGGAAGUGGAAUUCCUGGUGUAGCGGUGAAAUGCGUAGAUAUCAGGAGGAACACCGGUGGCGAAGGCGACUUCCUGGACCAAUACUGACGCUGAGGCGCGAAGGCGUGGGGAGCAAACAGGAUUAGAUACCCUAGUAGUCC
rnacentral:rRNA from 1 species